UAUUUUAUUCAAUGCAAGCAAAUGUCUGGCUUGAUCAGUACAGUUUAUGAUCUAUGAAACAACGUACCCAAGUCAGUGUUUUCAUUUGUUCUCUUUUGUUGAAACUUUGGGUUUAAAACAACGUAAUAUCCACCCUUCGAUUAUCACACUUUCAAACUUGAAUUUCUAUUUUGAUAUCACCUGAGGCAAAGGUCACAUGUUCAAAAUCCAUAAAUUUCUAUUUUCCUUGUAAUUUAGCUCCUCCUACAAAGGUGUUGUUAUUUCUAUGUGGCUGCAGCAAAAAUGUCUGAGCCAUCUGGAGAAAAAAAAAACUGUGUAAAUGGAUAAUUUGACACAAAGAAAACCCUUUAAACCCAGAGUGGAAUGGCCGGAUUUCCUCGUCAAUGAACUGCAGCAAGCAUUUCGAGACAAUAAAUUUAAUUGCUUCCGAUUCCCUCUGCCUACAAGGGAGCUAAUGCAUUCUGAGCGCACCCUUCAUUGGCAAAGGCGAUAAAGGCCGCAAAUGCAUUCAGGUUAUUAUAGUGAACAUUUUGGUCCUCACUGACAGGUCUGACCUGAGUGAAUGAGUAAGUAUGAUGUUCAAUCUUUAAUGGGUUUUUGAUGAUUGAGUGUGUCCGCAGAGCUUUAUUACAUGAAGACGUCUCACCGCAUCUGGUCUCCCUCCAGCUCGAGAUCACGGAGGGGACGCCUGACCUGGGGGUGACCUCCUACUGGACUGAUAAAGAAGGAAAUGUGGUUUUUGAUCCAAACACCCCGAAAGAAAAAAUGAAAACCUCUGUCACAGGAACGAAAACCCCAAAAAGAAAAGAUUCUCCUGCUCAAAAGGUGAAAGACAGAAAGGAGAGCAAUAGCGGGGAGUUGGAAAAGGAGAAGACUGCAGACCAUGCUCCACCGGAACCAGAGUCUUCAAGUACAGACCAGCAAGCGGAUGCAAAAGAAGAUCUGUCUGAGCAGCGGCCCGCUGCUGACAAGUCAGACGCUCCUGAUCAGCCUGCAAAGACCGUGGAGGAACCCAAAACAGCCUAAAAUCACUGCAAUAUACAAAAUACAGGAGAGCGGCGUAAAGCAGUUACCAAGCUGGAGGGAUGACCAAUGCAAACGUGACACAUUCUUGCGGUGAAAUGUAUUUAUUUUAAUCAUUGAGGAAACAAGUUAGUAGCACCAGUUUUAAAUGGUAAAUGGACUGAACUUACGCUUGUUAUGGUUGACUGGGAAAAUGUUGUUACCACACAUCUGUAGAUGAUUAAAGUUUGGAACUUAGUUGCCACCAUAAUGCAGAAGAACCUGGAUUGCUCAUGUGGUCAAGUGACUUUUUUGGGGAAAUGAAAACAGCUUACUUCCCUCCUCAGAACGUGUAAAACGGGAUUUUACAUUUCUCUGUUUUUCUUCUCUAGCCCAGGACUACAGUUCUUUUUCAUCCACCUGAACCUUUUUUUUUUACAUGUCCUGUUGAUCUAACUUGGAACAAAGCCAUAAAAACCCUCCACCUGCAGGCCUCCUGCUCUGUGGCUGAGUGUGACAAAAAGCAACAAAUUAACUCAGAACACUGUUUUUAAUCUACAAAUAAAGAGAUUUGGAAAUUAAACAAGUUUCUUUUAAUUAAUGAUGACAAAUAUCUUUACUGAGUAGAUACUAAUACUGCUGUUUUAGGAGUGCAUCUUGCUGUAUGUAAUCCU